GUAGGAGUAGCUCAGUGGUAGAGAAUAUGCUUAGCAUGCGUGAGGUCCUGGGUUCAAUCCCCAGUACCUCUG
rnacentral:tRNA from 1 species